CGAGCGCUCACUUCGGUGGGAGCGGCGGACGGGUUAGUAACGCGUGGGAAUAUGCCCGGUACUAAGGAAUAGCCUUUGGAAACGAAGAGUAAUACCUUAUACGCCCUUCGGGGGAAAGAUUUAUCGGUAUCGGAUUAGCCCGCGUAAGAUUAGAUAGUUGGUGGGGUAAUGGCCUACCAAGUCUACGAUCUUUAGCUGGUUUUAGAGGAUGAUCAGCAACACUGGGACUGAGACACGGCCCAGACUCCUACGGGAGGCAGCAGUGGGGAAUCUUAGACAAUGGGCGCAAGCCUGAUCUAGCCAUGCCGCGUGAGUGAAGAAGGCCUUAGGGUCGUAAAACUCUUUCGCCAGAGAUGAUAAUGACAGUAUCUGGUAAAGAAACCCCGGCUAACUCCGUGCCAGCAGCCGCGGUAAUACGGAGGGGGUUAGCGUUGUUCGGAAUUACUGGGCGUAAAGCGCACGUAGGCGGAUUAGUAAGUUAGAGGUGAAAUCCCAGGGCUCAACCCUGGAACUGCCUUUAAUACUGCUAGUCUUGAGUUCGAGAGAGGUAAGUGGAAUUCCGAGUGUAGAGGUGAAAUUCGUAGAUAUUCGGAGGAACACCAGUGGCGAAGGCGGCUCACUGGCUCGAUACUGACGCUGAGGUGCGAAAGUGUGGGGAGCAAACAGGAUUAGAUACCCUGGUAGUCCACACCGUAAACGAUGAAUGCCAGUCGUCGGCAAGUAUACUUGUCGGUGACACACCUAACGGAUUAAGCAUUCCGCCUGGGGAGUACGGUCGCAAGAUUA
rnacentral:rRNA from 1 species